ACCUCAUGAUUUGGGAAGUGCAUGAACUUAUCAUUGAAAUGUUACCAAACUUCAUAUAAUGGUUUGCCAUUGAGUUGGAAAAAGUUAGUGAUAUCAUCUUUUAGUU